rnacentral:rRNA from 1 species
GUUAGUGGAAGCGUCUGGAAAGGCGUGCGAUACAGGGUGACAGCCCCGUACACAAAAAUGCACAUAUUGUGAGCUCGAUGAGUAGGGCGGGACACGUGGUAUCCUGUCUGAAUAUGGGGGGACCAUCCUCCAAGGCUAAAUACUCCUGACUGACCGAUAGUGAACCAGUACCGUGAGGGAAAGGCGAAAAGAACCCCGGCGAGGGGAGUGAAAAAGAACCUGAAACCGUGUACGUACAAGCAGUGGGAGCCUCUUAAUGGGGUGACUGCGUACCUUUUGUAUAAUGGGUCAGCGACUUAUAUUCUGUAGCAAGGUUAACCGAAUAGGGGAGCCGAAGGGAAACCGAGUCUUAACUGGGCGUUAAGUUGCAGGGUAUAGACCCGAAACCCGGUGAUCUAGCCAUGGGCAGGUUGAAGGUUGGGUAACACUAACUGGAGGACCGAACCGACUAAUGUUGAAAAAUUAGCGGAUGACUUGUGGCUGGGGGUGAAAGGCCAAUCAAACCGGGAGAUAGCUGGUUCUCCCCGAAAGCUAUUUAGGUAGCGCCUCGUGAAUUCAUCUCCGGGGGUAGAGCACUGUUUCGGCAAGGGGGUCAUCCCGACUUACCAACCCGAUGCAAACUGCGAAUACCGGAGAAUGUUAUCACGGGAGACACACGGCGGGUGCUAACGUCCGUCGUGAAGAGGGAAACAACCCAGACCGCCAGCUAAGGUCCCAAAGUCAUGGUUAAGUGGGAAACGAUGUGGGAAGGCCCAGACAGCCAGGAUGUUGGCUUAGAAGCAGCCAUCAUUUAAAGAAAGCGUAAUAGCUCACUGGUCGAGUCGGCCUGCGCGGAAGAUGUAACGGGGCUAAACCAUGCACCGAAGCUGCGGCAGCGACACUAUGUGUUGUUGGGUAGGGGAGCGUUCUGUAAGCCUGUGAAGGUGGCCUGUGAGGGUUGCUGGAGGUAUCAGAAGUGCGAAUGCUGACAUAAGUAACGAUAAAGCGGGUGAAAAGCCCGCUCGCCGGAAGACCAAGGGUUCCUGUCCAACGUUAAUCGGGGCAGGGUGAGUCGACCCCUAAGGCGAGGCCGAAAGGCGUAGUCGAUGGGAAACAGGUUAAUAUUCCUGUACUUGGUGUUACUGCGAAGGGGGGACGGAGAAGGCUAUGUUGGCCGGGCGACGGUUGUCCCGGUUUAAGCGUGUAGGCUGGUUUUCCAGGCAAAUCCGGAAAACCAAGGCUGAGGCGUGAUGACGAGGCACUACGGUGCUGAAGCGACAAAUGCCCUGCUUCCAGGAAAAGCCUCUAAGCAUCAGGUAACAUCAAAUCGUACCCAAAACCGACACAGGUGGUCAGGUAGAGAAUACCAAGGCGCUUGAGAGAACUCGGGUGAAGGAACUAGGCAAAAUGGUGCCGUAACUUCGGGAGAAGGCACGCUGAUAUGUAGGUGAAGCGACUUGCUCGUGGAGCUGAAAUCAGUCGAAGAUACCAGCUGGCUGCAACUGUUUAUUAAAAACACAGCACUGUGCAAACACGAAAGUGGACGUAUACGGUGUGACGCCUGCCCGGUGCCGGAAGGUUAAUUGAUGGGGUUAGCGGUAACGCGAAGCUCUUGAUCGAAGCCCCGGUAAACGGCGGCCGUAACUAUAACGGUCCUAAGGUAGCGAAAUUCCUUGUCGGGU